UCGCCUGUUUAUCAAAAACAUCGCCUCUUGAUCAUACAUAAGAGGUCCAGCCUGCCCAGUGAUAUAAUUCAACGGCCGCGGUACCCUAACCGUGCGAAGGUAGCAUAAUCACUUGUUCUUUAAAUAAGGACUAGUAUCAACGGCAUCACGAGGGUUACACUGUCUCCUUUCUCCAAUCAGUGAAACUGAUCUUCCCGUGAAGAAGCGGGAAUAAAACUAUUAGACGAGAAGACCCCAUGGAGCUUUAAGCUCAACAACAAUUCCCAUGAAAACAAUCCCCUAUAAUAUACGAACCCUGUUUGUUAGCUUUAGGUUGGGGUGACCGCGGAGUAUAAUUUAACCUCCACGACGAAAGGGUAUAAGACCCUAAUCCAAGAGCCACUGCUCUAAGAAUCAUUAAAUUGACAUAUAAUGAUCCGAUUUUCGAUCAACGAACCAAGUUACCCUGGGGAUAACAGCGCAAUCCAUUUCUAGAGCCCCUAUCGACAAAUGGGUUUACGACCUCGAUGUUGGAUCAGGGUAUCCUAGUGGUGCAGCCGCUACUAAAGGUUCGUUUGUUCAACGAUUAAAACCCUAC
rnacentral:rRNA from 1 species